AUUGAACGCUGGCGGCAUGCCUUACACAUGCAAGUCGAACGGCAGCAUGGGUGCUUGCACCUGAUGGCGAGUGGCGAACGGGUGAGUAAUGCAUCGGAACGUGCCCUGAAGUGGGGGAUAACGUAGCGAAAGUUACGCUAAUACCGCAUAUUCUGUGAGCAGGAAAGCAGGGGAUCGCAAGACCUUGCGCUUUAGGAGCGGCCGAUGUCGGAUUAGCUAGUUGGUGAGGUAAAGGCUCACCAAGGCGACGAUCCGUAGCGGGUCUGAGAGGAUGAUCCGCCACACUGGGACUGAGACACGGCCCAGACUCCUACGGGAGGCAGCAGUGGGGAAUUUUGGACAAUGGGGGCAACCCUGAUCCAGCCAUGCCGCGUGAGUGAAGAAGGCCUUCGGGUUGUAAAGCUCUUUCGGCGGGGAAGAAAUUGCUUCGGCUAAUACCCGGAGUAGAUGACGGUACCCGCAUAAGAAGCACCGGCUAACUACGUGCCAGCCGCCGCCGUAAGAC
rnacentral:rRNA from 1 species